AAAAACAAAAUAAAUAUUUACACGACAUGCAAUCUUUUUUUACAAGCCCCUAGAAAUUGUUAACGAUAAUCCGUGAGCUGCACGUUGACAUGCUUGUCGUAGAUGGCAAUACCAAUUGAUAAAUUAGUGCGUACAAGGCAAAGUUUUUUUGUGGAAAAUAUAAGAAAUGGCAACGAUCAAAGCGGGAUAAUUAAAGCUGAUUAACUGAUAAUCCCAAUGUUAUUACAGUAUGUUCAAAGAAACCUAACGGUUCUUUGGUGGAUGAGGAAAAAUGUGAGUUGUCAAUCAUCGAGAAUGGCGGCCGUGUGUUAUACCGUUUCACGAAAAAACAUUAGCAGUGGUCUGUCAAUCAAGCUCGUUUACUAUUUAUAACGCAAAUUUUUCGUUUCGGUUAAAACAAAAUAUACGUCCAUUUUAAUUGGCCGAAGGAUGUGUGACUAAUAGAAAUAUGGCGGGCGGACAAACUGACCAAACAGUAUAUUUCGAGGUAUUUGAGGCCAAGAACAUGGAAAAUUGGUAAUUGCCUUGUAUCACUGCUAACUAUAAGGCACAGGGAGCCUUGGGCAGAAAUGAUAAUAAUAUGGUUCUCAGAUAUGUUACUGUGUACAGACUGAACAAAAAAUAUAUAUACACUUGCUAUUACAUGUACAUUAUAUCAUUGGCAAUAAUAAGAUCCAAUUUUAGUUUUUAGUUACACACUGUUAACCACCAAUAGAUGAAAAUAAAUCAUAAAAUGUAUUCAGCUCGACGUAAGACUUAAAUAAAUAGAUACAGUUGGUUUAA